AUGGCAAGCGCAAGUGGAAGCGGAAAAGCUAAAGGUGGUGGUGGUCAUGGAGGAACAUCUGAAAGCGGUAAGAGGUACAAGUUUGAUGCCGCGCUGAUUGAUGCACAACUUAUGAAAAGAUGUGACAGUAGAAUUAGUGAAGCUGACUGGAAGAACCUUAUUACUUACUGGAGAUCUUCGGUAUUUGAAGCUGUCAAACUUGUCCAUCAGCCUCGAAGAGAUCAAGUUUAUAUCGAGACAAAUACAUGCAAGAAAGGGGAUAAGAAAGGGAGUUAUGUGCCGCAGGCAGAAGCAACAAUUAAAUAUCUCGUAGAGAAAGCUGAAAAGCGCACUGAAUGGAAGGAAAAAGCAUUCAAGAAGGUGAUCUGUUUGCACAUGUAUGUGGAAUGA
rnacentral:rRNA from 1 species